GGGCCAGUAGCUCAGCUAGGCAGAGCGAUCGGCUCUUAACCGAUUGGUCGAGGGUUCAAAUCCCUUCUGGCCCGCCA
rnacentral:tRNA from 1 species